rnacentral:misc_RNA from 1 species
CGCACAUUGCGCCUUAUGGUAGUCCGUAAGGCAUGCCUGUUCGAACGUCAUCAAACCCCUCGAGUCCUCUGGCUUUUGCGAGCCACGGGAAUCUCGGUCUUGCUCAAGGAGUGGCCUCGCGUCCCUUCUGAGCGAAUUCCAUUGUGCUGAUCCACAGGUCGCCAAAGCGUAGUAAGCCUAAAAAGCUCUCGCCUGGCAUGAGACUUGGCUGGCAUCACGCCAUGAACCCCAUAUCUAUAGAGUUUGACUUCGGAUCAGGUAGGGAUACCCGCUGAACUUAA